AUGCUCCCUCCGGCGGGUCCCUCCCGCAUCGCCACCGCAGCGCCGCCAUUCGCCGCUCCUCCCCCUUCUGCGGUGCCAAUCCUGCUUCGUUGGCUCACCAUCCAGUACAGCGCAACCGGCGCUCGGAGCCAGACACGCCCAUCGCGCCUCUGCCCCUCCGGCCGAUUGCGGACUUGCGUCCCUGCCCCGGCCGCUGCAAGCCGACGUCAGCCGCCCAAACACCCAACCUGCACUCUAAUAUUUCCGGUGGUUGCCCUCUUGCACGAUUUGAGGCGGACCACCCUGUUGUCAAACGCUAGCUCCGCCACUGCUCGUCGGAUCCCGUUCAGCCGUCCGAUGGAGAAGGCUAUAACUAUCAACGCGAACUCAUGGACUGAUGCUGGUCAUGCAGUCAACCAGUUGUAUGAUCUCCUCUACAUGAUGGGCCGUGAUGACAUUGCGGUGGGAGUCGGAGGGGAGGGUGGUAUAUCCAAUGAUGGUAGAAUUUAUCCUCACGUUGGUGGCUAUUUCCCAAUAAUUGACCAGGGAAUGUCAACAAUAGGGGAGUGUCGAUACCGACAAUCAAUUCCACAGGGAUCAGGUGGCCGCUUGGACAUCAACGCGAAUUAUGGAGUUCGACGGGAAAUUCUUCCUCAGGGAAAUAGAAGUUACUCCCCUCUUCAACAGCCAACAACUCAACAAGUGAUGAUUGACACCAUAUCCGCUGGGCCAACGAAUGUCUUCCUCUUCGGAACACAUACAAACUUUGCGCUGUUCCUCAUGAGCAACCCUCACCUAAAGAAAAACGUGAAGCACAUUUACAUAAUGGGUGGGGGUGUGAGAUCGCAAAAUCCCACUGGUUGCUGCCCCAAGAACGACACAUCAUGCGUGCCACGACAAUGUGGUGAUCAUGGCAACAUGUUUACAACUUACACCAAAAAUCCACAUGCCGAGUUCAACAUAUAUGGAGACCCUUUUGGCGUGUAUCAGGUCUUUCAUUCUGGUAUCCCGAUCACCCUUGUGCCACUCGAUGCAACCAACACGAUACCAAUCACUGAGUCCUUCUUCAAGGCAUUUGAGGAGCAACAGAGCACUUAUGAGGCACAGUACUCCUUCCAGUCUUUGAAGAUUGCUUGCGAUACCUGGUUUGAUGACCAGUUCUACACAGGUUACUUUAUGUGGGAUUCUUUCAUGUCUGGUGUGGCACUCUCAAUAAUGCGCAAUGGUCAGAAACUGAAUGGCGAUAACGAUUUUGCUGAGAUGGAAGUGAUGAACAUAACUGUGGUUACAUCCAAUGAACCAUACGGUGUGCAUGAUGGAUCAAAUCCAUUCUUUGAUGGACAUGCAAGCCCAAAAUUUGAUUUAUUGAAAGGUGGUGUACAUAGUGGUCAUGUUCAGAUAGGAUUCAAUGAUUCAUUUUGUGUUUUGAAAGGGGGCACUAAAGGAAAAUGCCAGGAUGGAUACACCAAAGAAGUGCAAGGUCCUGACUCGGUUGCUGUACUUGUCGCAGUGAAGGCAAAACCUAAUAGAAAUGUUAAAAGUCCUCUUGAUAGAGAGUUUUUUGACCACUUUCUCGAGGUCCUGAAUCGCCCUGAACACACUGGGCACUUCAAUUUUACCGAUCAGUUUCGUCACUACAAAGAGAUUAUGUACAAACCUGAUUUGAAACAUCAGAUUAGAGGAAAGCCUGUCAUAUUUGACAUGGACAUGAGUCCUGGAGAUUUUCUUGCCCUCUUGUGCCUCCUGAAAGCACCUAUGGAAGCAAUUGAUUUGAGGGGGAUAUUGGUAAGUGGCAAUGGUUGGGCAAACCCAGCUACAGUAGAUGUUAUCUAUGACGUUCUUCAUAUGAUGGGCCGUGAUGACAUUCCAGUAGGACUUGGGAAAAUUACUGCGCUUCGUGCCCCUGACCUUGGAUGUGAAUACGUGAAAGCCAUACCACAUGGUUCUGGUGGUUUUCUUGACACUGACACCCUUUUUGGACUAGCCCGGGUGUUGCCCAGAAGUCCUAGAAGGUACACAGCAGAAAAUUCAGUAAAAUAUGGUGCUCCAAGGGACACCGCGCGCCCUGAGCUCAGGCAGCCAUUGGCUUUUGAAGUUUGGCAACAUAUUAGAGAAGAACUCAAACCAACUGACAAGAUAACCAUCCUGACCAAUGGUCCUCUCACAAACAUAGCAAACAUCAUUCUAUCCGACACAAAAGCAGAAUCAGUAAUUGAGCGCAUUUUUAUAGUCGGGAGUCAUUUGGCUGGCGGAAAUGGAGAUGGAGGCAAUGUGUUCACUGUUCCAUCAAAUAAGUUUUCAGAGUUCAAUUUCUUUCUUGACCCUCAAGCUGCCAAGGCGGUUGUAGAAUCUGAUUUAGACAUCACUCUCAUUCCUUUGAGAGCUCAACGCCAGGUGGCUUCUUUCAAAGAAGUCACAAGAUCGUUGUGUACUGCUGAGAAGACUCCUGAAUCAUCGUUUGCAUACCAGUUGUUGCUGUCAAUGCAGAAACUGCAAAAGAAUAACCAAGCAUAUCGUCACAUUGACAUGUUCCUUGGUGAGCUUCUUGGUGCUGUGUUCUUGGUUCAGCAAUCACAUCUGAAUCACUCGAUCACCCAAAGGGCCAUCACUGUUAGAUCUGGUCAUGUGAGCAUCGAUGGUCAGACCAUCCUCCGCCGGACGAACGGAAAGGUAGUAAAGGUACUAGAUCAUCUCGACGCAGAUGCUUACUACACCGAGUUUGCGAAGCUGCUCAAUGCGAAGAAGCAGUCUGCGGUCGUGGGUAGCUUUGAUGAGCAGAAAAGAAUGUGGAACAAAUGA
rnacentral:rRNA from 1 species